rnacentral:misc_RNA from 1 species
GAUGAAGAACGCAGCAAAAUGCGAUAAGUAAUGUGAAUUGCAGAAUUCAGUGAAUCAUCGAAUCUUUGAACGCACAUUGCGCCCGCCAGUAUUCUGGCGGGCAUGCCUGUUCGAGCGUCAUUUCAACCCUCAAGCACAGCUUGGUGUUGGGACUCGCGUUAAUUCGCGUUCCUCAAAUUGAUUGGCGGUCACGUCGAGCUUCCAUAGCGUAGUAGUAAAACCCUCGUUACUGGUAAUCGUCGCGGCCACGCCGUUAAACCCCAACUUCUGAAUGUUGACCUCGGAUCAGGUAGGAAUACCCGCUGAACUUAAGCAUAUCAAUACGGAGGA